UGUUUCGACACACUAUCAUUAACUGAAUCCAUAGGUUAAUGAGGCGAACCGGGGGAACUGAAACAUCUAAGUACCCCGAGGAAAAGAAAUCAACCGAGAUUCCCCCAGUAGCGGCGAGCGAACGGGGAGGAGCCCAGAGCCUGAAUCAGUGUGUGUGUUAGUGGAAGCGUCUGGAAAGGCGCGCGAUACAGGGUGACAGCCCCGUACACAAAAAUGCACAUACUGUGAGCUCGAUGAGUAGGGCGGGACACGUGGUAUCCUGUCUGAAUAUGGGGGGACCAUCCUCCAAGGCUAAAUACUCCUGACUGACCGAUAGUGAACCAGUACCGUGAGGGAAAGGCGAAAAGAACCCCGGCGAGGGGAGUGAAAAAGAACCUGAAACCGUGUACGUACAAGCAGUGGGAGCCUCUUAAUGGGGUGACUGCGUACCUUUUGUAUAAUGGGUCAGCGACUUAUAUUCUGUAGCAAGGUUAACCGAAUAGGGGAGCCGAAGGGAAACCGAGUCUUAACUGGGCGUUAAGUUGCAGGGUAUAGACCCGAAACCCGGUGAUCUAGCCAUGGGCAGGUUGAAGGUUGGGUAACACUAACUGGAGGACCGAACCGACUAAUGUUGAAAAAUUAGCGGAUGACUUGUGGCUGGGGGUGAAAGGCCAAUCAAACCGGGAGAUAGCUGGUUCUCCCCGAAAGCUAUUUAGGUAGCGCCUCGUGAAUUCAUCUCCGGGGGUAGAGCACUGUUUCGGCAAGGGGGUCAUCCCGACUUACCAACCCGAUGCAAACUGCGAAUACCGGAGAAUGUUAUCACGGGAGACACACGGCGGGUGCUAACGUCCGUCGUGAAGAGGGAAACAACCCAGACCGCCAGCUAAGGUCCCAAAGUCAUGGUUAAGUGGGAAACGAUGUGGGAAGGCCCAGACAGCCAGGAUGUUGGCUUAGAAGCAGCCAUCAUUUAAAGAAAGCGUAAUAGCUCACUGGUCGAGUCGGCCUGCGCGGAAGAUGUAACGGGGCUAAACCAUGCACCGAAGCUGCGGCAGCGACACUAUGUGUUGUUGGGUAGGGGAGCG
rnacentral:rRNA from 1 species